GCCUUCGUGGUGUAAUGGUCAGCACACUGAGCCGGUAUUUCAGAGGUCCGCGGUUCGAUCCCCGGCGAAGUCG
rfam:Stegodyphus mimosarum contig74833, whole genome shotgun sequence.